UACAGAGGUCCCGAGCGUUGUUCGGAUUCACUGGGCGUAAAGGGUGCGUAGGUGGCCUAAAAAGUUUGAUGUGAAAGCUCAGGGCUUAACCCUGAAAUGGCAUUGAAUACUGUUGGGCUGGAGGUUUGGAGGGGGGACUGGAAUUCUUGGUGUAGCAGUGAAAUGCGUAGAUAUCAAGAGGAACACCAGUGGCGAAGGCGAGUCCCUGGACAACACCUGACACUGAGGCACGAAAGCCGGGGGAGCAAACAGG
rnacentral:rRNA from 2 species